CUCCACCUCAUAGAGCUCUUUUUUCAGCCGCUCCACCUCCGCCUGCGAAGCAGCGAGCUGGACCUCAACAGCUCUCUUUGCCUCUUCUGCCUUGGCAGCUUUGGCCUGGGCAGCUCGCACCGCGUCCCCGUAAUGCAUCGCCUCCUCGAGGCGCUUGGCGAGGUCCUCCCUCUUGGAGUUUAGAUCCUUCACCAAGCCCUCGAGUUGGAUACUUGUGCUUAGUGCCCGGGCCACGCAGGCGCUGUUCACCGCCACCAAGUCCUCAGCAGUGCAGGAGGCGGUGUGGUCCCUCCACUCUUCGGUCCAAUACUUGCUGUGGACCACCGCCACCGCAGCUGUUUCAGGAGGGAGAGCCUCCAGUACCUCCCUUACUGGUUCUUCCGAACUGGUGCCGAGGAAGUCAACUUCUUUGUUGGGGCGGGCCCUUGGCCUCUGGAACCUCCUCGUUAACCUUCUCAGGCCGACCUCCAGUGGGUCCCCCAAACUCCGCCUCUAGUUGAGAGAUGUCCAGUGUGGGGUGCACCUCCUUUAGCCGACCCAAUAAGCUCUGGGCAUUCCACGAGGCCCAGAAGUUGGCGAAGUCGUCAUAAAGGGGGUGGUCCUCGAAGUGAUCAAUGAAAUUUUGAACCGCCACAUCCCCCGCUGACUUUAACUCCUCCCUCAGAGAAGCAAUCUCCACUGACUGGGCCUCUACUUGCUGCUUCAGCUCCGUUUUUUCUCUGUUGGAGGCCUCCAGGGCAUUAGUGGCAAGCUUGUGGUGCUCAUUAGCGUGGUCAAGCCGCCGAGUCACCGCAGCCACCUGGCACUCCACCUCAUAGAGCUCUUUUUUCAGCCGCUCCACCUCCGCCUGCGAAGCAGCGAGCUGGACCUCAACAGCUCUCUUUGCCUCUUCUGCCUUGGCAGCUUUGGCCUGGGCAGCUCGCACCGCGUCCCCGUAAUGCAUCGCCUCCUCGAGGCGCUUGGCGAGGUCCUCCCUCUUGGAGUUUAGAUCCUUCACCAAGCCCUCGAGUUGGAUACUUGUGCUUAGUGCCCGGGCCACGCAGGCGCUGUUCACCGCCACCAAGUCCUCAGCAGUGCAGGAGGCGGUGUGGUCCCUCCACUCUUCGGUCCAAUACUUGCUGUGGACCACCGCCACCGCAGCUGUUUCAGGAGGGAGAGCCUCCAGUACCUCCCUUACUGGUUCUUCCGAACUGGUGCCGAGGAAGUCAACUUCUUUGUUGGGGCGGGCCCUUUUCCUCCUCUGCUGCCCCGGAACAUGUUCAAUAGGUACAGCCGUGAGGGGCGUCGUUUCCUGGGCAGCAGCAGGCUCCGCAGCAGAGGGGCUUCUCUCUGGGAGGGCCACCCCAGUAGGAAUAGUUGUCUGCCGCAUAACUGGGGGUGGCCUCGCCACAGUUGGGCGUCUUGGAGGGGCAGCACUUUUCUUGCCCUUCCUUCGAAGGUCGGCCGCCGGAUCUUCCUGAACCUCCUCCUCUGUCGGAGGCUGAAGCCUCUUACUGGCCUCCACCAGCUCCUCCAUCUGUUUCUUAUAUGAAGAAGAGGAGGCCUUCAGUGCCCUUGCUUCAGCCAUCAUUUUCUGAAUAGUUUUGAAGUCAGGGCGAACUGGCAGCUUCUUGUUGAAGUUAUCUGCAAAGAAAAGAAUGAGG
rnacentral:lncRNA from 1 species